rnacentral:rRNA from 1 species
AGUGAACGCUGGCGGUAGGCCUAACACAUGCAAGUCGAACGGCAGCACAGUAAGAGCUUGCUCUUACGGGUGGCGAGUGGCGGACGGGUGAGGAAUACAUCGGAAUCUACUUUUUCGUGGGGGAUAACGUAGGGAAACUUACGCUAUACCGCAUACGACCUACGGGUGAAAGCAGGGGAUCUUCGGACCUUGCGCGAUUGAAUGAGCCGAUGUCGGAUUAGCUAGUUGGCGGGGUAAAGGCCCACCAAGGCGACGAUCCGUAGCUGGUCUGAGAGGAUGAUCAGCCACACUGGAACUGAGACACGGUCCAGACUCCUACGGGAGGCAGCAGUGGGGAAUAUUGGACAAUGGGCGCAAGCCUGAUCCAGCCAUACCGCGUGGGUGAAGAAGGCCUUCGGGUUGUAAAGCCCUUUUGUUGGGAAAGAAAAGCAGCAGGUUAAUACCCCGCUGUUCUGACGGUACCCAAAGAAUAAGCACCGGCUAACUUCGU